UACACACGGAUAACAUACCGAAAGGUAUGCUAAUACGGGAUAAUAUAUUUGAGAGGCAUCUCUUAAAUAUCAAAGGUGAGCCAGUACAGGAUGGACCCGCGUCUGAUUAGCUAGUUGGUAAGGUAACGGCUUACCAAGGCGACGAUCAGUAGCCGACCUGAGAGGGUGAUCGGCCACAUUGGAACUGAGACACGGUCCAAACUCCUACGGGAGGCAGCAGUGGGGAAUAUUGCACAAUGGGCGAAAGCCUGAUGCAGCAACGCCGCGUGAGUGAUGAAGGCCUUCGGGUCGUAAAACUCUGUCCUCAAGGAAGAUAAUGACGGUACUUGAGGAGGAAGCCCCGGCUAACUACGUGCCAGCAGCCGCGGUAAUACGUAGGGGGCUAGCGUUAUCCGGAUUUACUGGGCGUAAAGGGUGCGUAGGCGGUCUUUCAAGUCAGGAGUGAAAGGCUACGGCUCAACCGUAGUAAGCUCUUGAAACUGGGAGACUUGAGUGCGGGAGAGGAGAGUGGAAUUCCUAGUGUAGCGGUGAAAUGCGUAGAUAUUAGGAGGAACACCAGUUGCGAAGGCGGCUCUCUGGACUGUAACUGACGCUGAGGCACGAAAGCGUGGGGAGCAAACAGGAUUAGAUACCCUGGUAGUCCACGCUGUAAACGAUGAAUACUAGGUGUCGGGGGUUACCCCCUUCGGUGCCGCAGC
rnacentral:rRNA from 1 species